rnacentral:misc_RNA from 1 species
AAUAAGUGUUUUAUGGCACUUUUUUUAAAAUCCAUACCCACCUUGUGUGCAAUGUUGGGUCGUCCAUCAAGUAGUUUGCGCUACAGCGAGGGAUGGCUUUUAACUAAACUCUUGAACCUCAUAACGAAUCUGUCUGAUAACAUAUUUUCGAAUUAACUUAAUUCAGAUAAAUACAACUUUCAACAACGGAUCUCUUGGCUCU